UUGAGGAAGAUUAGCCCUGAGCUAACAUCUGCUGCCAAUCCUCCUCUUUUUUACUGAGGAAGACUGACCCUGAGCAAACAUCUGUGCCCAUCUUCCUCUAGUUUAUAUGUGGGAUGCCUACCACAGCAUGGCUUGCCAAGUGGUGCCAUGUCUGCACCCGGGAUCCGAACCGGUGAAUCCUGGGCCGCUGAAGCUGAACAUGCAAACUUAACUGCUGUGCCACCGGGCAAGCCCCCUGCCACAGACCCUUUGCCUCACAGUCUCUUGGGGUGGUCUGUCGGGGACCCCACCUGGAGAUACGCAGGCCAGCAGAUUGUCUGUGACCCAGACUUUCAUCUCUUGGCCACAGUGACCUCCUCUCUGACCUCUGAAAUCUCAAAAACACUGAGAGUCCCACCCAGGGUCCCAUCUCCUUAUUGAUCCGAACCCUGGGACGCUGCAGCAGAGUGUGCGAACUUAACCACUCGACCACGGAGCCAGCCCCCGGACAGAAUUUUCUUGAAACAACCAGGAUUGCAUUCUCAGAAAGAGGGACUGCAAUUCAUCUGGGCCAUGGGGCUUCCAAGGAGGCAAAAGUGACCAGAAAAACUGCUUGUCCUCUGAGCUUAUGGGGAAGACAGAGGCACCUGGCAUGCUCACAACAGAUUUCACUGCAUGCAACCAAAGAAAGGAGAUGGCUAUCAGUGCGGGACUGGACCCGCUUGUUGGAAGGGUGCAAAUGGAAAUUAGAGAGGCGGUUGUUGCAGAGUCCUUGGUGGGGCAGGCAGCUGUGGGCCUGUGGGGAGGGAGAGGCAAACUGGACAGAAGCUGGGAGCACAGGCUCUGGAGCUGACUUCCUGGGUAUAAAUCCCCCUCCACUAGUUGUGUGAUCAUGCACCAGUUAUUCACCUCGAGACAGCUGCAGAUCCCAAAUCCACUGCAGGCAGAGAUUCUGAUCUAGCAGGUCUAGGCUGGCCAGGAACCUGCAGAUUUUUCUCUUUUUUCCACAAGCAUCUUAUGGUUUGUUGUAGAUGGUCUGCAAAACACACCUUCAGAAACACUGGCUCUCAGGGAAAGGUCAUGCAGAUCAGCAAACUGGAGUGUCAGGCCUGUGUCUCCGUGACGUUUUUCAGUGUGAAAUCAUAAACUGUCAUUCAGGGUUAGACUUUAGACAUUAUACCACGCCAUGCAGAAGGCUUCAGGACAGCUGGCCAAGGAGGACAUCCGAUGGGCCUUGUCUCCCCAGAUAACCUAGGAUGCUCCCCAAGGGCAGG
rnacentral:lncRNA from 1 species